rnacentral:rRNA from 1 species
AACGAACGCUGGCGGCAGGCCUAACACAUGCAAGUCGAGCGGACAUCUUCGGAUGUUAGCGGCGGACGGGUGAGUAACGCGUGGGAACGUGCCCUUUGCUUCGGAAUAGCCUCGGGAAACUGGGAGUAAUACCGGAUGUACCCUUUGGGGGAAAGAUUUAUCGGCAAAGGAUCGGCCCGCGUUGGAUUAGGUAGUUGGUGGGGUAAUGGCCUACCAAGCCGACGAUUCAUAGCUGGUUUGAGAGGAUGAUCAGCCACACUGGGACUGAGACACGGCCCAGACUCCUACGGGAGGCAGCAGUGGGGAAUCUUAGACAAUGGAGGAAGCCCUGAUCUAGCCAUGCCGCGUGAGCGAUGAAGGCCUUAGGGUUGUAAAGCUCUUUCACCGGGGAAGAUGAUGACGGUACCCGGAGAAGAAGCCCCGGCUAACUCCGUG